UUUAUUUAGCUUUAUUACUCUCCAUUUUAAGUUUUUUUUUUUCCUUUUUGAGGAACUGCCACUUGGUGUUUAGGGUUAUUUAUGAUUAUGGUUAUGAUUUUUCAUGGAUUCUGUCUUGACUGUCUUUUUAUUUCCAUCUCUCUCUUUCGGUCGUUGCCACAUAAACCUUAGUUUUGUCGAAGUAUCUUAAUUUCUCUGCUUUUGAUUUCAUGUUCAUGCUUAGGAGUGCAUUUUUGUGCUCACAAAUUUAUCAUCUGGGUGUUACUAAAUUCUGGUAAAAGAUAGGAUUCGAUUGAAAUUAUCAUCCGGGUCAGCAUCAAAAUUUCGAAUUUAUACUUGCUUCAUCGGAUUUUGGAUCUGCCUUUCUUUUGUUUGGCAAAUUUGUGCUAUAAUGGACGAUGGAGAGUUAGAUUAUUCAAACCAAGAAUUGUUUUUGAGUCCGAAUAUGGAUGAUCUUCCAAGCAGUUGUUCUUAUGGUUUCUUGGAUGAGCUACUGAUGGAUACUCCUCAUGCUUGUACUCAUACACACACAUGCAAUCCUCCUGGUCCCGAUAAUCCUCACACACACGUUUGCUUUCAUGCACAUACAAAACUUUUGUCCUCUUCUGAGGACAAGGUUGAGAGUGAAGACACUGCGGAGUCCAUAGAGAAAAAGUCAAAGAAACGGCCAUUGGGCAAUAGGGAGGCUGUCCGAAAGUAUAGGGAGAAGAAGAAGGCAAAGGCUGCCUCUUUGGAGGAUGAAGUUAAGCGUUUGCGAGCUUUGAACCAACAGUUACUAAAGAGGCUGCAAGGACAGGCUGCAUUGGAGGCAGAGGUUGCAAGGCUCAAGUGUUUACUGGUAGACAUCAGGGGGAGAAUUGAAGGGGAGAUUGGAUCUUUUCCAUAUCAGAAAUCAGCUAAUAAUGUGAAUUUGACCAAUUUUCCUGGUUCUCUUGUGAUGAAUCCAUGUAAUAUAAGGUGUGAUGAUCAGGUUUAUUGCCAGCAUCCUGGGUUGGAUGGCAAAGGUGGAGAAGGUGAAGCAUUGAAAGGACAAGGGUUUAACAGUUGUGAGUUUGAGAACCUUCAGUGUAUGGAGUAUCAGAAUUCAGGAAUGAGAGACUUACCUGGGUGUAGCAUUGGGAAUGAGGAAAUGAAUGGCAAUUCUUCCAGUGCAAACAAGAGGAAAGGAGGGGCUUGUGAAGCAACAGUAAGUUGAAGAACUGUCAAACUGAGGUCAGCAUUUUCAGUGAGGAUGCAUGUGCUUCCACUAAGUACUUCUGUUGAGUGGCAGCAUCAGCUUCAUCAAUAUGCCUUUUUGGGUUUGAAUUUGGUAAGGUGGGAACGUGUUUGACGUUUCAUUAGUGAAUCAAACAAUUUGCUGUCUGUAAUCGAUCCGAGUGUCCUGUGAAUUGUGAAAUUUGCGUUCAGAACUUGCUGCUUACCAUGACUGAGACAGGAAUAGCAAGGUAUGGUGAGGUUAAUCUUUCCAAAUUCAAUAUUGUUUCGUACCUUGGUACUUCUUUGCAACAAGGGAAAAGAGGAUUCUGUGUUAAAUAGUUAUUCAAGUAGAAACAGUAUGUUUAGAGUGAAAGGGCUGUCAAUUUAAUGUUGAAAGCUGCUAAUCUUCUUAUUUAUGCACCCUUUGUAAGGAAAUGGUGGAGUAGAGCCUUAAGGUCCUCAAGGGGUAGUUGGAUUUACUGCCCCUUUCAACUUCUGUCUCUAGUUAACAUGGUCUUUCUUGCUUUUGCUCAUUUUAUUUAGAGACACAAAAAAAGUUACGAAUUGAAAGCAGUUUUGGACCAACUAGGUUAUGUUAAUUGGAGGAUAAUUGUUAUCGUUUGGAUGUCAAGAUUGCUUCACUUCACUGGAUUUUUUAUUAUUAUUUUUUUUCAUUGAAGGAAGAAAAUUAGAAUUUAGAUAAUGCAUAUCUUUGGAUGAAUGAAGUUUAGCAUCACCAACAGUAAACCAUCAGAAUGAAUUCUGUGCUUUAGAAAAACACAGAUCUGAUAAAAGUUCUACAAAUAACUGAUGUCCUCAGUUUCUCAUCCAUUCGCUUUGGUUAUUUUCAAAGUGUUCCUAGAAUCCAUCUAGUUUUCUGGGUACACUCGUUCUUGGUUCACCCUUAACACGAGAUUAAGACCAAACAGUGAGUGGUAGGGUAACCAUAUCUGUGAGGAUAUAUGUUACAGGCUGACAGGGAAUCAGAAAACUUCCAAUUUUGAUGGAUGGCUAUUUGGUUAUAUGUUUGAAUGUUUAGUUCUACAGAAAAUUUUAUAAGCAAAAAGAUCAUAACUGCACAAUAUAACUUCCUUGACCCCACAAUUUGAUCUGAGCUACUUGCACCCUCGUAUGUAGAAGCACCAUAUCUGUUUUUGUGUUUUUUCUCCUCCCAAAGCUGCGUGAAGAGAGCAACACAAGGCCUUUUAUUUAUGUUGGAUCCGUGAAAUUUCUGGCUGACCAUGCCUGGUUGUAUGUGUGAUUUCUUAUUCAACUAUAAUAAAUAUUUUUUAAUCAA